AGGUAAGUAUAUACAAGACUGUCUACCCGCGGGGCUCAAUGUGUUACUCAAUAUAAAGAUGGUCAGCCACUUCCUCGAUCUAGGUAGAUGAAGGUAAUGAAUAUUCUGGUACAUGAUAAACUUCACUUGUAUCAAACCCGGAAUGGUUAACUUUACCAGGCAAAUUUUAAAAAAUUGUCCUCUGAUGUACGAGGCCCAACAAAUGUAACAGAUUGCGAUCGUCUUUUUUCCCCAGACUUCUCAGGAUGCUCACAAUUCUAGGCUUCCUCAUUCCAUUGCUUAUCAUCCUGAUUCUUGUUGCCGUCUCCUUCCUCUCCAACUUUUCCAUUUGUAGAAAGAUUUAAUGAGACUGUAAGUAAACCAGAAUCUCCAAUCAAUAGAGCACAUCGUUUAUCAUGUCGGGAAAUUAUUACUUUGUAAUUGUUGGACACCUGGACAAUCCAAUUUUUGAGAUGGAGUUUUGUCCACCAAACAGGGCAGCUGAACCGAAGGUACUUUUUGUUUUGAAGAAAUAAAUGAUAAUAUGAUUUACAGUGAGACAUUUACUGACGUGAGCAAAGCAGGAAUUACAGACAACUCUUCCCAUUGUCCAUCAUCUCCAUGUUGUCAGCUCCCUCACAAUCAAAUUUUUGCACCCCUAUACAGACUCACUGCCAUUCAAAUGUAACAACAUUUAAGAAAACAAAAAAUUGAUGAUGAAUAUUCAAAAAAUAAUAUGUGGAUUAAGAG
rnacentral:misc_RNA from 1 species